UCCGGUUUGUCACCGGCAGUCUCCCUAGAGUUCCCGCCAUUACGCGCUGGCAACUAGGGACAAGGGUUGCGCUCGUUACGGGACUUAACCCAACAUUUCACAACACGAGCUGACGACAGCCAUGCAGCACCCGUCACUCGGUUCCCGAAGGCACUCCGCCGUCUCCGGCAGAUUCCGAGGAUGUCAAGGGUAGGUAAGGUUCUUCGCGUUGCCUCGAAUUAAGCAACAUGCUCCGCCGCUUGUGCGGGCCCCCGUCAAUUCCUUUGAGUUUUAGCCUUGCGGCCGUACUCCCCAGGCGGGGCGCUUAAUGCGUUAGCUGCGGCACGGAAGGAGUCGAUGACCUCCCACACCUAGCGCCCAUCGUUUACGGCGUGGACUAC
rnacentral:misc_RNA from 1 species